rnacentral:rRNA from 1 species
UGCAAGCGUUAUCCGGAAUGAUUGGGCGUAAAGCGUCUGUAGGUGGCUUUUUAAGUCCGCCGUCAAAUCCCAGGGCCCAACUCUGGACAGGCGGUGGAAACUACCAAGCUGGAGUACGGUAGGGGCAGAGGGAAUUUCCGGUGGAGCGGUGAAAUGCGUAGAUAUCAGGAGGAACACCGGUGGCGAAGGCGGGUCUCUGGGCCGAUACUGACGCUGAGGAGCGAAAGCGUGGGGAGCGAACAGG